rnacentral:rRNA from 1 species
AGCAGCCGCGGUAAUUCCAGCUCCAAUAGCGUAUAUUAAAGUUGCUGCAGUUAAAAAGCUCGUAGUUGAAUUUCGGGACUAAUAUGUUGGUCGUGCCUCGGUACGUACUGAUAUUUUUGGUUUCUCCCUUCUGACGAACCUUGAUGUCAUUAAUUUGGUGUCUUGGGAAAUCAGGACUGUUACUUUGAAAAAAUUAGAGUGUUUAAAGCAGGCUCACGCUUGAAUACAUUAGCAUGGAAUAAUGAAAUAGGACGUUUGAUUCUAUUUUGUUGGUUUCUAGGAUCGACGUAAUGAUUAAUAGGGAUAGUUGGGGGCAUUAGUAUUCAAUUGUCAGAGGUGAAAUUCUUGGAUUUAUUGAAGACUAACUACUGCGAAAGCAUUUGCCAAGGAUGUUUUCAUUAAUCAAGAACGAAAGUUAGGGGAUCGAAGACGAUCAGAUACCGUCGUAGUCUUAACCAUAAACUAUGCCGACUAGGGAUCGGAUGAUGUUAAUUUUUAAUGACUCAUUCGGCGCCUUACG